rnacentral:rRNA from 1 species
AUUGAACGCUGGCGGCAGGCCUAACACAUGCAAGUCGAGCGGAUGAAGGGAGCUUGCUCCUGGAUUCAGCGGCGGACGGGUGAGUAAUGCCUAGGAAUCUGCCUGGUAGUGGGGGAUAACGUCCGGAAACGGGCGCUAAUACCGCAUACGUCCUGAGGGAGAAAGUGGGGGAUCUUCGGACCUCACGCUAUCAGAUGAGCCUAGGUCGGAUUAGCUAGUUGGUGGGGUAAAGGCCUACCAAGGCGACGAUCCGUAACUGGUCUGAGGGGAUGAUCAGUCACACUGGAACUGUGACACGGUCCAGACUCCUACGGGAGGCAGCAGUGGGGAAUAUUGGACAAUGGGCGAAAGCCUGAUCCAGCCAUGCCGCGUGUGUGAAGAAGGUCUUCGGAUUGUAAAGCACUUUAAGUUGGGAGGAAGGGCAGUAAGUUAAUACCUUGCUGUUUUGACGUUACCAACAGAAUAAGCACCGGCUAACUUCGUG